rnacentral:rRNA from 1 species
UACAGAGGGUGCAAGCGUUAAUCGGAAUUACUGGGCGUAAAGCGCACGUAGGCGGUCAUGACAGUCAGAUGUGAAAUCCCCGGGCUUAACCUGGGCACUGCAUUUGAUACUACAUGACUAGAGUAGAGUAGAGGAAAGCGGAAUUUCAGGUGUAGCGGUGAAAUGCGUAGAGAUCUGAAGGAACACCAGUGGCGAAGGCGGCUUUCUGGAUUCAUACUGACGCUGAGGUGCGAAAGCGUGGGGAGCAAACAGG